rnacentral:rRNA from 1 species
ACGGGUGAGUAACACGUAGGUAACCUGCCUAUAAGAUCGGGAUAACUAUCGGAAACGAUAGCUAAGACCGGAUAACUGGUUUUCUCGCAUGAGAGAAUUAUGAAACACGGAGCAAUCUGUGGCUUAUAGAUGGGCCUGCGGCGCAUUAGCUAGUUGGUAGGGUAACGGCCUACCAAGGCGACGAUGCGUAGCCGACCUGAGAGGGUGAACGGCCACACUGGGACUGAGACACGGCCCAGACUCCUACGGGAGGCAGCAGUAGGGAAUCUUCCGCAAUGGACGCAAGUCUGACGGAGCAACGCCGCGUGAGUGAUGAAGGUUUUCGGAUCGUAAAGCUCUGUUGCCCUAGACGAACAGCAAGGAGAGUAACUGCUCUUUGUGUGACGGUAUAGGAGAAGAAAGCCCCGGCUAACUACGUGCCAGCAGCCGCGGUAAUACGUAGGGGGCAAGCGUUGUCCGGAAUUAUUGGGCGUAAAGCGCGCGCAGGCGGUCAAUUAAGUUGGGUGUUUAAGCCCGGGGCUCAACCCCGGUUCGCAUCCAAAACUGGUUGACUUGAGUGUAGGAGAGGAAAGUGGAAUUCCACGUGUA